rnacentral:rRNA from 1 species
AACGAACGCUGGCGGCAGGCCUAACACAUGCAAGUCGAGCGAGACCUUCGGGUCUAGCGGCGGACGGGUUAGUAACGCGUGGGAACGUACCCUUUUCUACGGAAUAGCCUUUGGAAACGAAGAGUAAUACCGUAUACGCCCUUUGGGGGAAAGAUUUAUCGGAGAAGGAUCGGCCCGCGUUAGAUUAGAUAGUUGGUGGGGUAAUGGCCUACCAAGUCUACGAUCUAUAGCUGGUUUUAGAGGAUGAUCAGCAACACUGGGACUGAGACACGGCCCAGACUCCUACGGGAGGCAGCAGUGGGGAAUCUUAGACAAUGGGCGCAAGCCUGAUCUAGCCAUGCCGCGUGAGUGAAGAAGGCCUUAGGGUCGUAAAGCUCUUUCGCCAGGGAUGAUAAUGACAGUACCUGGUAAAGAAACCCCGGCUAACUCCGUGCCAGCU